rnacentral:rRNA from 1 species
GAUAAACGCUGGCGGCGUGCCUAACACAUGCAAGUCGAACGCCCUACGCUUGCGUAGGGAGUGGCGGACGGGUGAGGAACACGUGGGUCAUCUACCCAGAGGUGAGGAAUACCGGCGAGAAAUCGCCGACAAUACCGCAUACGUUCUGAAAAGAACAAAGUCGCAAGACGCCUUUGGAUGAGCCUGCGCCCGAUUAGUUAGUUGGUGGGGUAAAAGCCUACCAAGACUGCAAUCGGUAGCNGGUCUGAGAGGACGAUCAGCCACACUGGGAUUGAGAAC